rnacentral:lncRNA from 1 species
CUGUCCUAUGUCCAGUUUAUUUCUGCUAAGAUAGUCACUCUUAGGAGAGUGGGAAAGUAGUAAUGUUCAAGUAUCUCAGUUGAUACAGAAAGGACAACUUGACAAAACCCACAAAAUAUCAGAAGUGGUUUACUACUUACAGACCCCAGAGAGGAGUGCAGCAUGCCUCUCAGGAAGGGAUGAGCCAUCUAUGAUGCAACAUGCUCAACUAGGAUGAGGGGUAAAAUAAAGAGGGAAUAAACUGUGAGCUGAAGCCUUUACUAGGGUCUAGUACAUCACCUAAGUGGGUUUUCUUCAGGAGAGUUCUAAGUAGGGGGUUUAAAGUAAGUAGGCAUGGUUCCCCGCAGUCACACUGUAACAGAGAGGUGGUCAUUGUGGCAUAUGUGCAGUCUGUGUAGGGUGUGGAGGUUGUAUCUAGCUGUCCCACAGGGAGUGGUCACUAGCAGGUGGUUGUAUAAGGUAGAUAUCUGAAUUGACUACUUUGAAGAACCUGGAGGAGGUGGAAAACUGGAAACAGCAUCAAAGGUGCUUGUGAUUAGAGUAGUUCCACCUUAUAUUUAAAAUGGUGCCUCUUGUGUCAGUUUCCCCUUUGCUGAAUUUGCAUGGUACCUGAUCUCCUGGAGGGAGAAGGAGUUCUUGGCCAGCAGGGAUGAAGAGCUUUUCCAGGCUGAGUGAUUGCUAUAUGGGGAUUCCCCCGUCAGUGCUUUCUGACUCCUAGAAAGUCUCUGUGGCUCAGUGGAGAACAAGACUACUUUCCAUCCUGCUUAUUGUCAGCACAGUUCCCAGUUCCUGACUAAUCUUCUUUGCUGGUGUUCCAGGCUUGUCUGGUAUUGUUAGAGGGACCCUUGUUGAUUUGGGGGCAGGCUGAGACCACCUAGGCUGCUUUCUGUUGCUAGGUUAUGAGUUUAGAGAGACAUCAUCUGUGUGGCUCUCUGUUGUUGGGUUGUAAGAUGCUCUGCUAUUAUUUUUUAACCUUUAUUUUAUUUAUUUUUAUGUGGUGCUGAGGAUUGAACCCAGUACCUCAAACGUGCUAGGUGAGUACUCUGCCACUGGGCCAUAACCCUGACCCCCUCUACUAUUAUUUUUAAGUCCUCAGGACCCUAAUCAGAGUUCUUGCCUUUUUCCUCCUUUCAGGAUCCUCUUUUGGUCAUCUCUUGUGUUAAUUCCAGGGCUUCCAGUUGUACUUAGUGGGGAAGAACAGGGACAGAGGAGUCUAUGCCAUUAUUGGUAUCUAAUAUCUUUAAAAAAAUUGUUUUUGUGGUACUGGGGAUCAAACCUAGGCCCUCACACAUGCUAGGCCAGCACUGUACCACUGAGCUGUAUCCCCAGCCCUUUUUCUUUCUUUUGAAACAAAGUAAGCAUGUAAUAUACAGAUUGCCAGUUUUUGGUUUUCACUUAUUGUGAUGAUUUACAAAUACUUUUUUUUUAAAGAGGGAGAGAGAGAGAGAGGGAGAGAGAGAGAGAGAGAGAGAGAGAGAGAGAGAGAGAGAGAGAGAGAGAGAGAGAGAAUUUUAAUAUUUAUGUUUUAGUUAUCGGCAGACACAACAUCUUUGUAUGUGGUGCUGAGGAUCGAACCCAGGACGCACGCAUGCCAGGCGAGCGCGCUACCGCUUGAGCCACAUCCCAGCCCUACAAAUACUUCUUGAAUGAGUAACUAAAGUGAUUUUUUUUCACAUCAGAUUAGAAAACUACCAUUUUCUUCCCUAAUCCAAAAAUCUGAACUCUGAAAAUGUUCUAGAAUGUAAAACUUUUUUGAGUGCAACAUUGUUGCCACAAAUGGAAAAUUCCACACCUGACCUCAUUUGCAGUCAAAAUGCAGAUGAACUAACAUUAUUAUUUAAAAUCACCUUCAGGCUGGUAUAUAAGGUAUUUAUGAAACAUAAAUAUUUCAUGGUUAAACUAGGGUCCUGUCCCCAAGAUAUCAUUUCAAAUAUUCCAAAAUCUGAAAAAAAAUCUAAAAUCUGAAGCAC